rnacentral:rRNA from 1 species
CAGCCUGCCCAGUGACUCUGUUCAACGGCCGCGGUAUCCUAACCGUGCGAAGGUAGCGUAAUCACUUGUUCUUUAAAUGAGGACUAGUAUGAAUGGCAUCACGAAGGUUAAACUGUCUCCUUUUUCUAAUCAGUGAAACUAAUCUUUCCGUGAAGAAGCGGGAAUAAUUUUAUAAGACGAGAAGACCCUAUGGAGCUUUAAACUAUUAGCAACUAUCUUAACUUUACCACAACAAUAAAACUUAUAUUGAUAGUCUGACUGCUAGUUUUCGGUUGGGGUGACCGCGGAGUAUAACUUAACCUCCACGAUGAAUGGGCCCGCUCCUAAACAAAGAGUUACAAUUCUAUGUAUCAAAAAAUUGACGCUAUUGACCCAAUACUUUGAUCAACGAACCAAGUUACCCUAGGGAUAACAGCGCAAUCCAUCUCAAGAGUUCAUAUCGACAAAUGGGUUUACGACCUCGAUGUUGGAUCAGGGUAUCCCAGUGGUGCAGCCGCUACUAACGGUUCGUUUGUUCAACGAUUAAAACCCUACGUGAUCUGAGUUCAGACC